rnacentral:rRNA from 1 species
UACAGAGGUCUCAAGCGUUGUUCGGAUUCAUUGGGCGUAAAGGGUGCGUAGGCGGCGCGGUAAGUCGGGUGUGAAAUUUCGAGGCUUAACUUCGAAACUGCAUUCGAUACUGCCGUGCUUGAGGACUGGAGAGGAGACUGGAAUUUACGGUGUAGCGGUGAAAUGCGUAGAUAUCGUAAGGAAGACCAGUUGCGAAGGCGGAUCUCUGGGCAGUUCCUGACACUGAGGCACGAAGGCCAGGGGAGCAAACGGG